GACGAACGCUGGCGGCGUGCUUAACACAUGCAAGUCGAGCGGUAAGGCCUUUCGGGGUACACGAGCGGCGAACGGGUGAGUAACACGUGGGUGAUCUGCCCUGCACUUCGGGAUAAGCCUGGGAAACUGGGUCUAAUACCGGAUAUGACCUCAGGUUGCAUGACUUGGGGUGGAAAGAUUUAUCGGUGCAGGAUGGGCCCGCGGCCUAUCAGCUUGUUGGUGGGGUAAUGGCCUACCAAGGCGACGACGGGUAGCCGACCUGAGAGGGUGACCGGCCACACUGGGACUGAGACACGGCCCAGACUCCUACGGGAGGCAGCAGUGGGGAAUAUUGCACAAUGGGCGAAAGCCUGAUGCAGCGACGCCGCGUGAGGGAUGACGGCCUUCGGGUUGUAAACCUCUUUCAGCAGGGACGAAGCGCAAGUG
rnacentral:rRNA from 1 species